UGGGGAAUUUUGCACAAUGGGGGAAACCCUGAUGCAGCGACGCCGCGUGAUUUAGAAGGCCUUCGGGUUGUAAAAAUCUUUUCUAUGGGAAGAAAAUGACAGUACCAUAGGAAUAAGGACCGGCUAAUCACGUGCCAGCAGCCGCGGUAAUACGUAAGGUCCGAGCGUUGUCCGGAAUCAUUGGGCGUAAAGGGUACGUAGGCGGGUAAGCAAGUUAGAAGUGAAAUCCUAUAGCUCAACUAUAGUAAGCUUUUAAAACUGCUCAUCUUGAGGUAUGGAAGGGACAGUGGAAUUCCAAGUGUAGCGGUGAAAUGCGCAGAGAUUAGGGAGAAUACAGGUGGCAAAGGCGACUUUCUGGCCAUAACCUGACGCUGAGGUACGAAAGCGUGGGUAGCAAACAGG
rnacentral:rRNA from 1 species